rnacentral:rRNA from 1 species
AGAGUUUGAUCAUGGCUCAGGACGAACGCUGGCGGCGUGCCUAAUACAUGCAAGUAGAACGCUGAAGAGAGGAGCUUGCUCUUCUUGGAUGAGUUGCGAACGGGUGAGUAACGCGUAGGUAACCUGCCUUGUAGCGGGGGAUAACUAUUGGAAACGAUAGCUAAUACCGCAUAACAAUGGAUGACACAUGUCAUUUAUUUGAAAGGGGCAAUUGCUCCACUACAAGAUGGACCUGCGUUGUAUUAGCUAGUAGGUGAGGUAACGGCUCACCUAGGCGACGAUACAUAGCCGACCUGAGAGGGUGAUCGGCCACACUGGGACUGAGACACGGCCCAGACUCCUACGGGAGGCAGCAGUAGGGAAUCUUCGGCAAUGGGGGCAACCCUGACCGAGCAACGCCGCGUGAGUGAAGAAGGUUUUCGGAUCGUAAAGCUCUGUUGUAAGUCAAGAACGAGUGUGAGAGUGGAAAAUUCACACUGUGACGGUAGCUUACCAGAAAGGGACGGCUAACUACGUGCCAGCAGCCGCGGUAAUACGUAGGUCCCGAGCGUUGUCCGGAUUUAUUGGGCGUAAAGCGAGCGCAGGCGGUUUGAUAAGUCUGAAGUUAAAGGCUGUGGCUCAACCAUAGUUCGCUUUGGAAACUGUCAAACUUGAGUGCAGAAGGGGAGAGUGGAAUUCCAUGUGUAGCGGUGAAAUGCGUAGAUAUAUGGAGGAACACCGGUGGCGAAAGCGGCUCUCUGGUCUGUAACUGACGCUGAGGCUCGAAAGCGUGGGGAGCGAACAGGAUUAGAUACCCUGGUAGUCCACGCCGUAAACGAUGAGUGCUAGGUGUUGGAUCCUUUCCGGGAUUCAGUGCCGCAGCUAACGCAUUAAGCACUCCGCCUGGGGAGUACGACCGCAAGGUUGAAACUCAAAGGAAUUGACGGGGGCCCGCACAAGCGGUGGAGCAUGUGGUUUAAUUCGAAGCAACGCGAAGAACCUUACCAGGUCUUGACAUCCCGAUGCUAUUUCUAGAGAUAGAAAGUUACUUCGGUACAUCGGUGACAGGUGGUGCAUGGUUGUCGUCAGCUCGUGUCGUGAGAUGUUGGGUUAAGUCCCGCAACGAGCGCAACCCCUAUUGUUAGUUGCCAUCAUUCAGUUGGGCACUCUAGCGAGACUGCCGGUAAUAAACCGGAGGAAGGUGGGGAUGACGUCAAAUCAUCAUGCCCCUUAUGACCUGGGCUACACACGUGCUACAAUGGUUGGUACAACGAGUUGCGAGUCGGUGACGGCAAGCUAAUCUCUUAAAGCCAAUCUCAGUUCGGAUUGUAGGCUGCAACUCGCCUACAUGAAGUCGGAAUCGCUAGUAAUCGCGGAUCAGCACGCCGCGGUGAAUACGUUCCCGGGCCUUGUACACACCGCCCGUCA